rnacentral:rRNA from 1 species
CCUACGGGUGGCAGCAGUGAGGAAUAUUGGUCAAUGGCCGCAGGGCUGAACCAGCCAAGUCGCGUGAGGGAUGACGGUCCUAUGGAUUGUAAACCUCUUUUGUCAGGGAGCAAAGGGCGCCACGUGUGGCGUUUUGCGAGUACCUGAAGAAAAAGCAUCGGCUAACUCCGUGCCAGCAGCCGCGGUAAUACGGAGGCUGCGAGCGUUAUCCGGAUUUAUGGGGUUUAAAGGGUGCGCAGUCGGAAUGUCAAGUCAGCGGUAAAAUGUCGGGGUUCAACCCCGUCGUGCCGUUGAAACUGGCAUUCUUGAGUGAGCGAGAAGUAGGCGGAAUGCGUGGUGUAGCGGUGAAAUGCAUAGAUAUCACGCAGAACUCUGAUUGCGAAGGCAGCAUGCCGGCGCUCAACUGACGCUGAUGCACGAAAGCGUGGGUAUCGAACAGGAUUAGAUACCCUGGUAGUC